rnacentral:tRNA from 2 species
GGCGGUGUAGCUCAGGUGGUUAGAGCGAGCGGCUCAUAACCGCUAGGUCGGGGGUUCAAGUCCCUUCACCGCCACCA